ACACACUCGCCUGAUUCCCGCCCCUCCCGUCCUCUCUCUCCUCGCUCCCACUCGACGCCCACCCCCCACCUCCGCCGCCUCGCCCUAGGGAAGUGGAUUUGGUGAAUCCUAUCGAGGAUCGUUUUUUUACAGUGUAUUUUGAACAUAUAGAAGCAAAAAGCACAAUUUCCGUACAGGAAAGAGGAGGUUCAUUUCCUUAUAAGGAGCUUAACCCCUCACUGUUCUUUGAGCUUUUUCUCGUCCACAAGAUCGGGGUGGGAGCAGGGGCAGGAGAAACGACAGCGGGGCUUUUGCCACUCAAUUUCCAGUUCAAUUCCAGAACCCCCGCAGCUCUGAGUCCCUAGCAAAGGUCAGCUGCCUUGC
rnacentral:lncRNA from 1 species